GCUCACAAAGGUAUUUUAGCUGCCCAAAGCUAUCUCUGCCUAGAGAGCUACUCCUCACAUCCACCAGCAUUCUGCAAUGUGGAACAAGAAGGGAAUAAAGCAACAGGAGGAAGUUACUGGCAGUAAUUAUUCAUCACAGCCCUUCCCAUUCUGUCUUCUGUGACUUAGAGAUUGAGACCUGGCAGAUUUAAAGGUGGGAGAGAGGGGAAAUCUGUUUUCUCAGAUGAUGUUCGCAGGCCUUUGCCUCCUUACUUCUCACUGCAUAGUACUAUUACCCUGGUGGUCUGAGGGAUUUCAUCAGAUGAAAGAAAAGAGGGAGCUUUGAGUAACUAACUGAAUUCCAGAUCACUUGUUUUUCAAGAAAACAGUGGGCACAAAUGUAUAAAAUAUGAGUAUCUGGGAACAAGUGAAAUGAAAGAAGUUCCUUCAGAUUAUUUUUCACUAUGAAACUGAGGUCAAAGACUGAGGCUUUGGUUUGAAGACCAAGCAUGGCUGAGUCAGUUUGGAUAAAACACAAGUAUUAGGAAUCUGUAUUGUUUGUCACAUUGCCUGUGGUUUUGACUGAAAUAUCAAUAGAAUCUGAUCUCCCUUUUUGUUCUUAACAUUGCAAAAUACUAUGUUUUCUUAAUCCUUUCUAGCACUGAAGAAGAAAGUGAGGAGUCUCUCUAGAUUUUGGGCUGGAGAAAAUGAAAUCUUUAUCUUUGGCCACCUUUGACUCAUUUUUAGUGAAACUGAAAGAGUUCAAAUCAAUGUUAGAAAUGGUCUCCCCUUGAAGCUUUUGAGAAUGGACCAGCAGUACUGGGCAUUUCCAGAAGUGGCCAGGGAUGAAGCACUGAAAACACAAACUGUCCAUUCCCUCUCUCCCCCAGUUUUUAGUGUAAAUCUCAGGUAUCUGAUGCUAUCUGUGGGAAUGUGGUUAUGAAUAUCUAAAACUCCAAGUCACUGAACAGCAGGAAGUGUGUGGGAUGAGCCACAGAUGGAGAGGAUGAAACCAGGAACAUUGGCUGUCAAGAGGAAAGCAAACAGUGACUUUAUUACAUUUUGGGUGUCCUACAUUCCGGCUCAGCCCAGCUAAAUGUUUCACCAGACCCAUUCCUGUUUGUUCAGACUUUGUCAUUGAACCUUGGACUAUAUGUCAGCAGCUGAGAGCAGAGGAAGGACAAGGAAAAGCUUACAGGAAAUGCAUGCACUUAAAUAUUCAGGCUGCCAUAUGUCUGCUUAUGGGAGAAUUUAUUGAAGAUGGGAUUUUCCCCAUGAUUCUGACCUAUUGGAAAAGGCAAGAUUUAAGAGAUGCUGUGAAGAUUCCCCUGCCCCAUCCCACCUGUGUGAACUAAGGAAGGGUUGGCUGGAAUUGCUGCCAAGGAUGUGUGGAACAGCCAGGAUCCAUCUCUCCUGGGUUUGACUGAGGAGUCCAACCCACCCACCCCGGGCAGCACAGGGGUUUACACCACUGUGAUGUCACUGCUACAACCACCUCACCAGCAGAAACAUCAAAAUCAAGAAUUUUGCCCGUGACUAUUUUGCCUUCCAAUACUCCCCACACAAGUGAUUUUUGGUAAAAAGGGGUCCAUAGCAAGAUUUGGACGAUGCUCUUGAGCACAUGGCUUGAUUCUUGGGACUGUUUUGUGCAGGAUCAGGUGAACUGAGUGGGUCCUUUCCAACUCAAGAAGCUGUUUGAGUAUUUCUGCAACAUCUGGAAAGAUGGCAAAAGUUGAAGCUACAAAUGUCACAGAGCAAUAGCAGUGACUGCCCUUCCUUGGACAGAUUGGCCCUUCUAAGGAUGUGAAGGAAUGGACUGAACACCUGGGAGACGUGGCAUUUCUGCGAGCAAGAAGGAAGAAGAGGAAUGCAGCAGUGGUGGGAGGUGGAGGUUUUCAUCAAUCCCAGCCAACGUGAGCAGCAACAGCAGCUCUGCCUUAUCAAUGAGAGAGGAACUGGGGACACUGAGUGGGCAAAGGGGGCAGGGCCUGAGGGUCCCUCACUCUAACCCAGCGUGCAGGGUGAGACCCAGGGGAGGCAGAGGUGAGCAGGAACAGCUCAGCAACUGCUGGAGGAGAAGGACACGUGGCAGAGUGCGACCGUGUUCACAGGGG